UAUGUACUCCCUCCGUUUCAAAAUACUUGACUUCCAUUUGUCCAAAAAUGGAUGUACCUAUAUACUAAGACAUGUCUAGAUACAUAUAUAUUUUGACAAAUAGAAGGCAUGUAUUGUGCAACAGAGGGAGUAGAAU
rnacentral:pre_miRNA from 1 species